UACGUAGGGUGCAAGCAUUAAUCGGAUUUAUUGGGCGUAAAGGGCGCGUAGGCGGAAAUGCCAGUCAGAUGUGAAAUCCCGGGGCUCAACCCCGGAACAGCAUUUGAAACUACAUUUCUAGAGGGUAGGCGGAGAAAACGGAAUUCCACAAGUAGCGGUGAAAUGCGUAGAUAUGUGGAAGAACACCAGUGGCGAAGGCGGUUUUCUAGCUUAUACCUGACGCUGAGGCGCGAAAGCAAGGGGAG
rnacentral:rRNA from 1 species